UAUUUCAUCCUGGUCUGAGAAGUCCGGGUAAUCUUGCAAACUCUGCCGUGCUGGGGAUAGUCCUUUGCAAUUUUCGGACUUGAACGAGGAACUUCUAGUAAUCGCAAGUCAUCAGCUUGCGAUGAUUACGUCCCUGCCCUUUGUACACACCGCCCGUCGCUACUACCGAUUGAAUGGCUUAGUGAGUCCUCUGGAUUUGCGGGGCACGCCCUCACCGGCUGCACUGCGGAAAAGUUGGGCAAACUUGGUCAUUUAGAGGAAGUAAAAGUCGUAACAAGGUCAUCGUAGGUGAACCUGCGGUGGGAUCAUAAAGAAAUUAAUGAUAUACCAUGAGGAGUGAGUAUAAGUAAGUGGUUUUUUUUUUUAAAGAAAAAAUUGCUGCUGUGCUGCUUUUCUGCUUGUGUGAACAUUUUAAAAUGUGACUUUUCGAGGCAAUCAAGGAAGGAUGAGAAUGUGAGGGAGAGGGGGGGAAACCACNCAAACCCUUGCGUUUUUUUUUUUUCUUUUUGCGCCUUGUAAUAAACCAUAAACCAUACAAAUUCAAUUUGUCGAUCUAAUCAAAAAACAUAAUAAAAACAACUAUUAGUGGUGGAUCACUAGGCUCUUGCAUCGAUGAAGAACGUAGCGAAUUGCGAAAAUUGUCGUGAAUUGCAUCACCGUGAAUCAUCGAGUCUUUGAACGCACUUUGCGGCCUGUACUUGUGCAGGCCAUGUCUGUAUGAGCGUCAUAAACAACCACACUCUAGAAUUUACCUUGUGUGAAUUUUGGAGCUUGGGCGAGUCAACGGCAAAUAUAUAAAUAAUAGUAUCUUGCUGGCGACGCCUAAAAAAAUGGCUUUUGGCACCGACUUGUAAAAAAAGAGUAUAGUAUUCUUUUAAUAAGAAGGGGCUUUUGCGUGAUAAAACAGCAUUUUUACUCUGAGACGGAAAAUCAUUGUAGAUAGAUGUAUGUGUGUGCGUGUGCAUUACAGGAUAGUUGACUCUUGGUCAUCAUUAAAAAUUCCCCAUAAUGCCACCACCACAGCUGCUCUAUUGCAACUACAAUGUCCCGCCGUUCUCAUACAAAAGAGUGGAUUUGUUCAUCACAACAACAGCUAGACCAAGCCAUUGCAACCAAAAGUAGUAGUGUAGUAUAUUUCACUAUAAUAUUGACCUCAUAUCAGGCAAGGCUACCCGCUGAACUUAAGCAUAUCAAUAAGCGGAGGAACAGAAACUAACAAGGAUUCCCUUAGUAACGGCGAGUGAACCGGGAUCCCAGGCUCGAGACCAUAAUCCCACAGCGGGAGUUGUAGUCAAGGACUGGUUUUGCUAGCUUUAAAAAGACCUGGUCAAGUCCCUUGGAAUAGGGCGCCAGAGAGAGUGACAGCCUCGUAGUGCUGGGUCUUAUAAAGUGUUAUGCAACUAGCUCCCAGAGUCGGGUUGUUUGGGAAUGCAGCCCUAAGCGGGAGGUACGCACCUUCUAAAGCUAAAUAUUCAGGCAAGAGACCGAUAGCGAACAAGUACCGUGAGGGAAAGUUGAAAAGCACUCUGGAGAGAGAGUGAAAAGCACGUGAAACCAUUAAUAGGGAAGCGGAAAGUGAGGGGGACUGAAGCAUACUUGUGUGCUCGCCCAAGGCCAGGGCGAGUGGGCGGAGAAGGUGCUGGGAAAGGUGGCUCUGCAUUAGUGGAGUGUUAUAGACCCAGCACACUUGACGCGUCCGCUCGGCCUGAGGAAAAAACUAAUUAAUUUAGCGACACCUGGCUUUUUUUUUUACAAGCUGGCGGUCUGUGGUACGAGUCCUGUUGCGAGGCAAGACCAGACAGCAUGCUG
rnacentral:rRNA from 1 species